GUACAACGAGUCGCAAGCUCGCGAGAGUAAGCUAAUCUCUUAAAGCCGUUCUCAGUUCGGACUGUAGGCUGCAACUCGCCUACACGAAGUCGGAAUCGCUAGUAAUCGCGGAUCAGCAUGCCGCGGUGAAUACGUUCCCGGGCCUUGUACACACCGCCCGUCACACCAUGGGAGUUUGUAACGCCCAACGUCGGUGGCCUAACCUUUAUGGAGGGAGCCGCCUAAGGCGGGACAGAUGACUGGGGUGAAGUCGUAACAAGGUAAC
rnacentral:rRNA from 1 species